AACGUACGCUGGCGGCACGCCUAACACAUGCAAGUCGAACGAAGUAGCAAUACUUAGUGGCAGACGGGUGAGUAACAUGUGGGUAUCUACCCUUUGGCCUGGAAUAACACGAGGAAACUUGUGCUAAUACCGGAUAAGUCUUUACGGAGAAAGCUUUAUGCACCAUUGGAUGAGCCCGCACUUGAUUAGUUUGUUGGUAGGGUAAUGGCCUACCAAGACUAUGAUCAAUAGCUGAUUUGAGAGGAUGAUCAGCCACAUUGGGACUGAGACACGGCCCAAACUCCUACGGGAGGCAGCAGUGGGGAAUCUUGCACAAUGGAGGAAACUCUGAUGCAGCGAUGCCGCGUGAGUGAAGAAGGCCUUUGGGUUGUAAAGCUCUUUCGUCGGGGAAGAAAAUGACUGUACCCGAAUAAGAAGGUCCGGCUAACUUCGUGCCAGCAGCCGCGGUAAUACGAAGGGACCUAGCGUAGUUCGGAAUUACUGGGCUUAAAGAGUUCGUAGGUGGUUGAAAAAGUUGGUGGUGAAAUCCCAGAGCUUAACUCUGGAACUGCCAUCAAAACUUUUCAGCUAGAGUAUGAUAGAGGAAAGCAGAAUUUCUAGUGUAGAGGUGAAAUUCGUAGAUAUUAGAAAGAAUACCAAUUGCGAAGGCAGCUUUCUGGAUCAUUACUGACACUG
rnacentral:rRNA from 1 species